rnacentral:ncRNA from 1 species
CAAAAAUCGCUGAAAGAGAAAAGUACGUUUCAGUCCUUCCAAAAGAGAGAAACAUCCAUCGGCUGAAAGAUGUUUUAGGAAGAAGCGAAGCAGAACGCUACUCUGGAGUGCAGAAGGAAAAUCUGCCGUUAUGCCGCGUUAAGGCUUAAUCAAGGUGAUAUGCUUGUUUUAAAGCGUAUAACCAGGGUGGUACCGCGUGAAUUCAAACUCUCGUCCCUGUA